rnacentral:tRNA from 1 species
UCCCUGAUGGCUCAGAUGGUAAAGCUUCUGCCUACAAUGCAGGAGACCCAGGUUCAAUCCCUGGAUUGGGAA